AGUGAACGCUGGCGGUAGGCCUAACACAUGCAAGUCGAACGGCAGCACAGUAAGAGCUUGCUCUUACGGGUGGCGAGUGGCGGACGGGUGAGGAAUACAUCGGAAUCUACUUUUGCGUGGGGGAUAACGUAGGGAAACUUACGCUAAUACCGCAUACGACCUACGGGUGAAAGCAUGGGAUCUUCGGACCUUGCGCGAUUGAAUGAGCCGAUGUCGGAUUAGCUAGUUGGCGGGGUAAAGGCCCACCAAGGCGACGAUCCGUAGCUGGUCUGAGAGGAUGAUCAGCCACACUGGAACUGAGACACGGUCCAGACUCCUACGGGAGGCAGCAGUGGGGAAUAUUGGACAAUGGGCGCAAGCCUGAUCCAGCCAUACCGCGUGGGUGAAGAAGGCCUUCGGGUUGUAAAGCCCUUUUGUUGGGAAAGAAAAGCAGCAGGUUAAUACCCCGCUGUUCUGACGGUACCCAAAGAAUAAGCACCGGCUAACUUCGUG
rnacentral:rRNA from 1 species